CAAAUCAUAACUACAGUGAGAUACCACUCACACCUAUUAGGAGGCUGCUAUGAAAUGUUGGUGGGGAUAUGGAGCAACCGGAGCCCUUGUGCGAUGAUCAG